GAACCGUUAUAACCGGCGAUUUCCGAAUGGGGAAACCCAGUGUGAUUCGUCACACUAUCAUUAACUGAAUCCAUAGGUUAAUGAGGCGAACCGGGGGAACUGAAACAUCUAAGUACCCCGAGGAAAAGAAAUCAACCGAGAUUCCCCCAGUAGCGGCGAGCGAACGGGGAGGAGCCCAGAGCCUGAAUCAGCAUGUGUGUUAGUGGAAGCGUCUGGAAAGGCGCGCGAUACAGGGUGACAGCCCCGUACACAAAAGCGCAUGUGCUGUGAGCUCGAUGAGUAGGGCGGGACACGUGGUAUCCUGUCUGAAUAUGGGGGGACCAUCCUCCAAGGCUAAAUACUCCUGACUGACCGAUAGUGAACCAGUACCGUGAGGGAAAGGCGAAAAGAACCCCGGCGAGGGGAGUGAAAAAGAACCUGAAACCGU
rnacentral:rRNA from 1 species